rnacentral:lncRNA from 1 species
AGAAGACAUGACAGCCUGAAGUAAAAAAAGACUUUGAAGGUGAAAGGUUAUCAACUGAAGAAAAUUGUCUUGACAUCAGUCUCCUGCAAUCGUGGGCAGAUGAAUGUGUUGUGAGGCCUCAUGCCAUACAGGAAAGUUAAGAAAAAGGACAACAGAACCCCUGAAUCCAUAACCAGGACUAGAUGGAUGCAGCCACUGAGCGCCCAACAGUUAAAGGAGAAUGUUACCACUUGUAACUUGAGACAGGCCAGAGAGGUGAUCUCAUCUUACCUUAGGCAUCUACAAGUUAGCUGUCUAAUCUAAACAUACUUUGCUCACUAUAGCUAAAAGAAGAAAAUAGAUAUCCCUUAGGAGCAAAAUAAUUUCAAUUUCUGAUAGUCAUUGAACGUUCUUCCUGAAAUAAG